GUUGAAUCCCAGCAGGUGUCCAGAUGUGGUGUGGGGACCCCAGUGCCACUCUGAGGAGGGCACUGAUGCCAGGCUGGGCCUGCCCGGGGAAGGAGGCAACUUGCUGAGGGCCAGUGACCUAGCCAGUCAAGGCCAGAGCCAGGCUACAGGCCCCAGACCCUCGCAGGCUGUACCUGGUAUGGUUUGGGUGGUACUGUGGGGGUGCGGCGGCUGGCCUUGAAUCUUGUAGCUCUUGCCAGGAUGGCAGACCCCCAGGAUUCGUCAUAGGGCCCCCAACCAGACGUCCCAAAGUUGGCAAGGGGGUCGGGCUUAUCUGGCUGCUUUUAGGGGGCUGUGGGCCAGAAGACUAGCGCCAUUCAAACCACUCCCCUUGGCCCGGCCUAGGGCUCAGCCCCACAUCCCUGCCCUUCCCAUGGGAUCAGAUUCCUCCUGGGCAGCAAGGCCUUCUGGCCAUAUAAGGCCGCCUGUGGGCACCUCCUGGAGGAGCUGCAGAGCCCUCAUCCUGCAGGAAGCGGAGCUUGGCCAGGCCCCCAGGGACCUGGGGGGAAGGGCCUGCUGCAGGUCAGUCCUGAGAGGGAGGGGGGGCAGGGACAACCCGGGUCCCUAGGUGCCACCCCCUCCUUCUGUGCUGGGGACCCUCUGCCCCUCACCUGCUUCCCGGAGGGCUGCCCAGUCCACAGUACAGAGCAGGGAGGUGGUGAGCAUGGGCGUGGGGGAGUCCUAGGAGCCAAAGGUCAAAUGGGGUAAAUAAUAACACUGCAGACAGGUUGGCCCCACAGGUGUCCGAUGUGGAUGCUGCCAUCCUGUGUGGGGGAUACAGGGAUUGAUGUAAGCCUUCUGGGGUCAGCCCCUGCUCCCCACAGAUCUGGGAGCAGGAGUCCUGGACCCCCAACUUUACACCCCAGGAAGGUGCUGGGAGGUGCCCCAUUGAGGACGGUACCUGGGCCUGGGAUCCGCAGAGCAAACUCACUUCUGAACCAGCCCCUCCCUUUGCCCUCUGGAUAUGAUUGGCUCUCCAUGGAGGUCUGGGCCCUCUCCUAGGGCCGCCCCCAACUCAGCCCACCGCUCCCCUAGGGCUGGAGUGGGAGAUUUGUGGCUGAGGGUUGCUCCUCAAGCCCAGGGCUGGGUCAGGGGGGUAUCUGGUGAGCCAUGGUGGGAGAGAUACGAUGCAAGGAUGUCAACACGGGGGCUAUCUCAGACAGCAGCUCCUUCCUCUCAGCAGGCCCGCCUCUCCUUCCAGCUCACAGACCCUGGGCUGGAGGGGUCUCUGGAGCACAGCAGUGGGCGUCUUCUGGGGAACCAGAGGCCCAAUUCGUAGGGCCUUGCACAGCCUGGAACCACCUGUGACAGGAUAAACCCAAGAAGCUGCACUUCAUGUGGUGGGUACUCCCUGAGCACCUCCUCUUCACCAGGCCCGGGGACAUGGCAAGAAGGACAGGCAAGACACAGAGAGACAGGCCUGGCCAUCUAGGACACCAGUCCGGAAGGAGGGAGACAAACACUCCCAGCAAGGAGCAGAGAGCUCAGCUUCCUCCUCCCCACGGGACAUUGCAGUUUCUCCUCCCCCCCAGAGAAGCGGCGUCGGGGUGAGAGCUGGGAUCCAGGACAGCGGUCAAGGAAAGGUGGCUGGGUGGCCCAGGAGUCAGAGCAAGACUGAACACCCUCGCUGGGCCAGCUGAAAAUGACUUGCUGGAAAUGUGCCUCGGGCAUCAGGCAUGAAGGUGGGCAGAGACGGGCCUCUCUCCCCUGCCCUGCUCCAGCUGGGACACCUAAGUGGGCACAGGGUGGGGGCCAAGUGGGCACCUCACUCAGCUCCUUCCACCACAUUGCCCUCUGCCCACUUCACCAGGCAACGUGCCUCCCCCCUCACCCCCAAGCCCAGGCCACCAGUUGCUCAGGGCAGCUGUCUCCCGGAAGCCGCUAGCCCACGAUUAACCCUCCGCAUGCUGGCCCGGCUGACUCAGCGCAUUCUCAGGCGGCGGCCCCUCCCUCCCGGCUGCUCUGUGCCCUCUGGACAGCGGUGGCCUGGUUGCUGGGAGGUUCAGAGGGCUCCUGCCUCUCACCUCUGUCCCCGGGCCCCUCCAUGGGUGUUGAGAAGCUGACAUGGGGGGUGGCCUGGCUGGAGGGUUCCCAGCCCCAACCCCCAGGAUGCCAGGCCACCAGAGCUAAGGGGGUGCUGGUGCCAGG
ensembl:lncRNA